GGCUCCGGCGCAAGCCCGGGCAGAGCCGAGCCACGCCGGCCACCAGGCUGACGAUCGAGGGACAGGUCCGCAGCAAGGCGAACCGCCCUGCGGGCUCAAGCCUCCUGCUCCCCGCUCUGCUCCUCUCGUUGUGCUCUCGGACAUCGGGCAGCAUCUCCAGCCAGCACUCAGCCACCAGACACCGUUAAGUCCUUGCCGAGCAGGUGCAAGAACAAACACGCUGCCCUAAGGCGGUCGGUCACCUUUAUGAACGUCUGUGCUUUCUUACCAAAAUAGAAGCGCCAGGUUUCUUGGAAGAACACUUAUUUCUCAACAGGAGAAGCACGAUUACGAUUUUAACAAAGGUAUUUCUACUUUCAGAAAUAACUUUUUACCAGAAUAUUGGGUUGGGUUUGUGUGGCAAGGUUUUGGUAGCAGAGGGUUACAGGGGCGGCUGCUGUGAGAAGCUGCUAGAAGCUUCCCCCAUGUCCGAUGGAGCCAAUGCCAGCCGGCUCCGAGGCGGACCUGCCCCCAGCCAAGGCCAAGCCCACCAGCGACAGUGGUAGUGCCUCUGUUAUAACAGAUUUAAGAAGGAAAAAAAGUUGCAGGGCACACAGAAACAGCAGCUGGAGAGAGGAGUGAGAAGAUGUGAGAGCCCCAGCCCUGCAGCCCCCCAGGUCAGUGCAGAAGGAGGGGAGAAGGUGCUCCAGGCGCCAGACCAGAGAUUCCCCGGCAGCCCGGGGAUGCCCGAAGGAGGCUGGGACCCCGUGGGAAGCCCGCGCUGGAGCAGGCUCCUGGCAGGACCUGUGGCCCCGUGGAGAGAGGAGCCCUCGCUGGAGCAGGUUUGCUGGCAGGACUUGUGACCCCGUGGGGGACCCACACUGGAGCAGGCUGUGCCUGAAGGACUGCAGCCCAUGGGAAGGGCUCACAUUGGAGAAGUUUGUGGAGGACUGUCUCCUGUAGGAGGGACCCCACACUGGAGCAAGGGAAGAGUGUGAGGAGUGCUCCCCCUAAAGAGGAUGAAGCAGCAGAGACAACACGUGAUGAACUGACCAUAACCCCCAUUCCCUGUCCCCCUGCACCGCUGAGGGGGUAGGUAGAGAGUCUGGGA